rnacentral:rRNA from 1 species
CGGCGAGCGAACGGGGAGCAGCCCAGAGCCUGAAUCAGUGUGUGUGUUAGUGGAAGCGUCUGGAAAGGCGUGCGAUACAGGGUGACAGCCCCGUACACAAAAAUGCACAUACUGUGAGCUCGAUGAGUAGGGCGGGACACGUGGUAUCCUGUCUGAAUAUGGGGGGACCAUCCUCCAAGGCUAAAUACUCCUGACUGACCGAUAGUGAACCAGUACCGUGAG